CGGGACCCCUAUUUGAUCCUGCAGCCACGCCAUCCCCUUCUCUUCCACCAUUCUUCUCACACCGGCCAAGAUUUCUUCGGCAGAAGCCAUCCCUGCAAGAAAAAGAACAGACCACACAAACCUGACAAGUAUCAAGUAAGUGUGAUUUUGAUUAAAAAGGCCAGUUCACCAAAUUGGCUGUUAUUUAAACCCUUAUUCUCCUCCCCCCCCUGUCCAGACAUUACUUUUCCACACCCCUUGACCUGAACUUCACCUGCCAACUCUCUGGCCCUGUCAAGGCCCACUCCCCUCCUGUGUUGCUCC